GAUGAAGAACGUAGCGAAAUGCGAUAAGUAAUGUGAAUUGCAGAAUUCAGUGAAUCAUCGAAUCUUUGAACGCACCUUGCGCCUUUUGGUAUUCCGAAAGGCACACCUGUUUGAGCGUCAUGAAUACCUCAAUCUCCAUCUUUUCUUCGGAUUGAUGGGUGACUUGGAUGUUGAGCCCUGCUGGUAUGCUAUAUCAGCUGGCUUUAAACUUAUUAGCCGGCUCUGUACUGGAUCGGUUUGACUCGACGUGAUAAUAUUAUCGUUGAGGAUGCAUGUCUCAUGCAGCCGGAAAGUAUCAAAGCAGCUUCUAGCUUGCCUUUAGUGCACUUUUACAUUUUAGACCUCAGAUCAGGCGGGACUACCCGCUGAACUUAAGCAUAUCAAUAAGCGGAGGA
rnacentral:misc_RNA from 1 species